rnacentral:tRNA from 1 species
GCCCGGCUAGCUCAAUCGGUAGAGCGUGAGACUCUUAAUCUCAAGGUCGGGGGUUCGAGCCCCCCGUUGGGCU